GUGGGACAGAUGAUUGGGGUGAAGUCGUAACAAGGUAGCCGUAUCGGAAGGUGCGGCUGGAUCACCUCCUUUCUAAGGA
rnacentral:rRNA from 1 species